rnacentral:lncRNA from 1 species
UCUGGGUUUGAAUUUCAUUAAUCAGGAAAUGGUCUCAGGUUACUUCUCAUUGACUUGGUCUCUCUUACAGGCCAGCGGGUGGUGUAGCAUGUCAGCCAUGCACUGGGAGGCCCGUCGCCGUCAGCAGGUGCUGGACCGCAGAUUAUCUGCUAGCGUUAUGCAGGCAGGCAACCAAGAUAAAAAGAAAGAAGAGUCUAUGGCACCUAUGACACCCU